rnacentral:tRNA from 1 species
GGGAUUAUAGAUUAAUUGGUAAAUCGUUCGCUUUGCAUGUGAAAAAUAUCGGUUCAAUUCCGAUUAGUUCCA